rnacentral:rRNA from 1 species
GAUGAACGCUGGCGGCGUGCCUAAUACAUGCAAGUCGAGCGAACGGACGAGAAGCUUGCUUCUCUGAUGUUAGCGGCGGACGGGUGAGUAACACGUGGAUAACCUACCUAUAAGACUGGGAUAACUUCGGGAAACCGGAGCUAAUACCGGAUGAUAUUUUGAACCGCAUGGUUCAAAAGUGAAAGACGGUCUUGCUGUCACUUAUAGAUGGAUCCGCGCUGCAUUAGCUAGUUGGUAAAGUAACGGCUUACCAAGGCAACGAUGCAUAGCCGACCUGAGAGGGUGAUCGGCCACACUGGAACUGAGACACGGUCCAGACUCCUACGGGAGGCAGCAGUAGGGAAUCUUCCGCAAUGGGCGAAAGCCUGACGGAGCAACGCCGCGUGAGUGAUGAAGGUCUUCGGAUCGUAAAACUCUGUUAUUAGGGAAGAACAUAUGUGUAAGUAACUGUGCACAUCUUGACGGUACCUAAUCAGAAAGCCACGGCUAACUACGUG